AGUGAACGCUGGCGGCGUGCCUAAUACAUGCAAGUCGAACGAUGAAGCUUCUAGCUUGCUAGAAGUGGAUUAGUGGCGCACGGGUGAGUAAUGCAUAGAUAACAUACCCUUUAGUCUAGGAUAGCCACUGGAAACGGUGAUUAAUACUGGAUACUCCCUACGGGGGAAAGUUUUUCGCUAAAGGAUUGGUCUAUGUCCUAUCAGCUUGUUGGUGAGGUAAUGGCUCACCAAGGCUAUGACGGGUAUCCGGCCUGAGAGGGUGAUCGGACACACUGGAACUGAGACACGGUCCAG
rnacentral:rRNA from 1 species